rnacentral:rRNA from 1 species
CCUACGGGAGGCUGCAGUGGGGAAUAUCGCACAAUGGGCGCAAGCCUGAUGCAGCCAUGCCGCGUGUGUGAAGAAGGCCUUCGGGUUGUAAAGCACUUUCAGCGGGGAGGAAGGCGUUAAGGUUAAUAACCUUGGCGAUUGACGUUACCCGCAGAAGAAGCACCGGCUAACUCCGUGCCAGCAGCCGCGGUAAUACGGAGGGUGCAAGCGUUAAUCGGAAUUACUGGGCGUAAAGCGCACGCAGGCGGUCUGUCAAGUCGGAUGUGAAAUCCCCAGGCUCAACCUGGGAACUGCAUUCGAAACUGGCAGGCUAGAGUCUUGUAGAGGGGGGUAGAAUUCCAGGUGUAGCGGUGAAAUGCGUAGAGAUCUGGAGGAAUACCGGUGGCGAAGGCGGCCCCCUGGACAAAGACUGACGCUCAGGUGCGAAAGCGUGGGGAGCAAACAGGAUUAGAUACCCCUGUAGUC